ACACACACACACACACUUUAACCAUCUUAUUGUUGAAAUUGGAAGUGAGACCCUGUCUUAAAAACAGAACAAAACAAAACCAGCCAGGCACAAUGGCUCCUGCCUGUAAUCACAGCACUUUGGGAGGCCAAGGCAGGUGCACCACUUGAGGUCAGGAGUUCAAGACCAGCCUGGCCAUCAUGGUGAGACCCUGUCUCUACUAAAAAAUACAAAAAUUAGCCAGGUGUGGUGGUGGGCACCUGUAAUCCCAGCUACUCAGGAGGCUGAGGCAGGAGAAUCGCUUGAACCAAGGAGGCA
rnacentral:lncRNA from 1 species